GAAAUUAACAAGAGAAAAUGGUAUAUGGAGGUUAUAAUUACAAGUUUCUUUCCUUUUUCAUAGAAGGGUGGUGUGAGUGGACACAUGUGUCCUUAUUGGAAUAUGAUUUGGCUAAGAUUUGAAAGGCUGUGUUUUUUUGUAUCUUGAGACAUGUUUUACAUGAAUACAAAACCCUACCACUUAUUCUUCUUUAGACUUUUUAUAUCUCAAAACCCUUCAAUUUUUU
rnacentral:lncRNA from 1 species